rnacentral:rRNA from 1 species
CCUACGGGUGGCAGCAGUGAGGAAUAUUGGUCAAUGGACGAGAGUCUGAACCAGCCAAGUAGCGUGAAGGAUGACUGCCCUAUGGGUUGUAAACUUCUUUUAUAUGGGAAUAAAAUGUUCCACGUGUGGGAUUUUGUAUGUACCAUAUGAAUAAGGAUCGGCUAACUCCGUGCCAGCAGCCGCGGUUAUACGGAGGAUCCGAGCGUUAUUCAGAUUUAUUGGGUUUAAAGGGAGCGUAGGUUGAUUGUUAAGUCAGUUGUGAAAGUUUGCGGAUCAACCGUAAAAUUGCAGUUGAAACUGGCAGUCUUGAGUACAGUAGAGGUGGGCGGAAUUCGUGGUGUAGCGGUGAAAUGCUUAGAUAUCACGAAGAACUCCGAUUGCGAAGGCAGUUCACUGGACUGCAACUGACACUGAGGCUCGAAAGUGUGGGUAUCAAACAGGAUUAGAUACCCCUGUAGUC